rnacentral:lncRNA from 1 species
AUUUUUAAAACAUUUGCCAUUUUAACUUAUGAAGUCUUACCUCUUUACAUCAUAGGAUUUUAAAUGGAUCUUUUAAUAAGUAACAAAAUAUUGUGCAAGAUACUUUCCACCUUUUUCAUUGGUUUGUUGGUGAUGCUUGGCACAGUUGAAAGUACAGUAAUGAAGAUUUUAACUUCUUUAAUAAUAAUCAAUCAAUAAUCAACUGCUUGCAGUAAAUUGCCUCAACAAAUAAUAGUAAAGGAAAAUCAAAAACCUG